rnacentral:rRNA from 1 species
CGGAGAGGGAGCAUGAGAAACGGCUACCACUUCUAAGGAAGGCAGCAGGCGCGCAAAUUACCCAAUCCUGACUCAGGGAGGUAGUGACAAGAAAUAACAAUAAACCGGCUUAUGCCGGUUUAAUUGGAAUGAGUACAAUUUAAACAUCUUAACGAGGAACAAUUGGAGGGCAAGUCUGGUGCCAGCAGCCGCGGUAAUUCCAGCUCCAAUAGCGUAUACUAAAGUUGUUGCAGUUAAAAAGCUCGUAGUUGGAUUUCUGCGGGGACGGAGCGGCCGGACGCAACUUGCGUCUCGAGCUAGCGCUUUCCCCGCAUCCUGCCGCGAACCGUGCUACCAUUAGUUUGGUGGCGCUGGGGAUCGGCUCGAUUACUUUGAGAAAAAUAGAGUGUUCAAAGCAGGCCACACGCCUUGAAUAAGUUAGCAUGGAAUAAUGACUAAGGACUUUGGUUCAUUUCGUUGGUGUUCGGGACUGAAGUAAUGAUUGAUAGGGACAGUUGGGGCGGUCCGUAUUCCAAAGCGAGAGGUGAAAUUCUUAGACCUUCGGAAGACGAACAGCUGCGAAAGCGUUCCGCAAGGAUGUUCCCUUUGAUCAAGAACGAAAGUUGGGGGAUCGAAGACGAUCAGAUACCGUCGUAGUCUCAACUAUAAACUAUACCAGCUAGGGAUCGGCCAACGUUUAAUUAUUCGACUUGGUCGGCACCUUAUGAGAAAUCAAAGCAUCUGGGUUCCGGGGGGAGUAUGGUCGCAAGGCUGAAACUUAAAGGAAUUGACGGAAGGGCACCACCAGGCGUGGAGCCUGUGGCUUAAUUUGUCUCAACACGGGAAAACUUACCAGGUCCAGACAUAGGAAGGAUUGACAGAUUGAUAGCUCUUUCUUGAUUCUGUGGGUGGUGGUGCAUGGCCGUUUUUAGUCGGUGAAGUGAUUUGUCUGCUUAAUUGCGUUAACGGACGAGACCCCAGCCUGCUAAAUAGCGCGGCCGAGCUUUGCUCGGUACGAGCUUCUUAGAGGGACCAUGAUGCGCGAUAGCACAAGGAAGUUUGGGGCAACAACAGGUCUGUGAUGCCCUUAGAUGUUCUGGGCCGCACACGGGCUACACUGGCGCCUGCAACGAGCAUAUCAGCUGGCCCGAGAGGGUCUUGGCUAAUCUUUGGAACCGGCGCCGUGCUUGGGAUUGACCAUUGCAAUUGUUGGUCAUGCAACGAGGAAUGCCUUGUAAACGCGAGUCAUCAGCUCGCGUUGAAUACGUCCCUGCCCUUUGUACACACCGCCCGUCGCUCCUACCGAUGAAUGUUCCGAUGAAAUUUUCGGAGAGCGCCGGAGAACGGGGCUCUGCCCUGCAGAACUGGAGGCUCAAAGUCACUUAAAUCUGAACAUUUCGAGGAAGGAGAAGUCGUAACAAGGUAACC